CACGGAGUUAGCCGGGGCUUCUUCUCUCGGUACCGUCAUUCCGAUGACGUGUUGGGUCACCGAUCAUUCGUCCCGAUUGAAAGGAGUUUACGACCCGAAGAUCUUCAUCCUCCACGCGGCGUUGCGUCGUCAGGCUUUCGCCCAUUGCGAACAAUUCCCCACUGCUGCCUCCCGUAGGAGUCUGGGCCGUGUCUCAGUCCCAGUGUGUCCGUCCGCCCUCUCAGGCCGGAUACCGAUCGUAGCCUUGGUGGGCCAUUACCUCACCAACUAGCUAAUCGGGCGCGGGCCCCUCUUCGAGCGCCAGGUCUUACGAUCCCCGGCUUUAAUGUCCGCCUGUUCAAAGGCAGGAUGUCAUGCGGUAUUAGCACCCCUUUGGGAUGUUACUCCCCCACUCGAAGGCAGGUCACCCACGUGUUACUCACCCGUUCGCCACUCUACUCAUGGAUUGCUCCACUUUCGCGUUCGACUUGCAUGUGUUAGGCACGCCGCCAGCGUUGAUUCUGCGCAGGAUA
rnacentral:rRNA from 1 species